CCAAAUCACCAUGAAACACCGGUUCUCGUACGAUCAUCGAAGUUAAGCAACGUCGGGCUUGUUCAGUACAUAGAUGGGUGACCGCUUGGGAAUACUAGGCGCU